GGAUGAGAGGGUGAUCUGUCUGAGACAUAUGUCACCCCAUUGAUCGCCAAGGUUGAUUCGGCUGAUCUGGCUGGCUAGGCGGGUGUCCCCUUCCUCCCUGACCUCUCCAUGUGAGUCCCUCCUGAAGCUGUGUGUUCAGUCGAAGAGGACGGUCUUCCCCAAAUAGAGCUGGACUUGUCUUCGUUCUUAGCCUUCGUUCUUAACCUCCAAACAAGCUCUCAAAGAAAGUAUCCAAGAGGCCGGAGCGAUAGCGCAGCGGGUAGGGCGUUUGCCUUGCAUGCUGCCGACUC
rnacentral:snRNA from 1 species